AAAUUGAAGAGUUUGAUCAUGGCUCAGAUUGAACGCUGGCGGCAGGCCUAACACAUGCAAGUCGAACGGUAACAGGAAGCAGCUUGCUGCUUCGCUGACGAGUGGCGGACGGGUGAGUAAUGUCUGGGAAACUGCCUGAUGGAGGGGGAUAACUACUGGAAACGGUGGCUAAUACCGCAUAACGUCGCAAGACCAAAGAGGGGGACCUUCGGGCCUCUUGCCAUCAGAUGUGCCCAGAUGGGAUUAGCUUGUUGGUGAGGUAACGGCUCACCAAGGCGACGAUCCCUAGCUGGUCUGAGAGGAUGACCAGCCACACUGGAACUGAGACACGGUCCAGACUCCUACGGGAGGCAGCAGUGGGGAAUAUUGCACAAUGGGCGCAAGCCUGAUGCAGCCAUGCCGCGUGUAUGAAGAAGGCCUUCGGGUUGUAAAGUACUUUCAGCGGGGAGGAAGGUGUUGUGGUUAAUAACCACAGCAAUUGACGUUACCCGCAGAAGAAGCACCGGCUAACUCCGUGCCAGCAGCCGCGGUAAUACGGAGGGUGCAAGCGUUAAUCGGAAUUACUGGGCGUAAAGCGCACGCAGGCGGUCUGUCAAGUCGGAUGUGAAAUCCCCGGGCUCAACCUGGGAACUGCAUUCGAAACUGGCAGGCUUGAGUCUUGUAGAGGGGGGUAGAAUUCCAGGUGUAGCGGUGAAAUGCGUAGAGAUCUGGAGGAAUACCGGUGGCGAAGGCGGCCCCCUGGACAAAGACUGACGCUCAGGUGCGAAAGCGUGGGGAGCAAACAGGAUUAGAUACCCUGGUAGUCCACGCCGUAAACGAUGUCUACUUGGAGGUUGUGCCCUUGAGGCGUGGCUUCCGGAGCUAACGCGUUAAGUAGACCGCCUGGGGAGUACGGCCGCAAGGUUAAAACUCAAAUGAAUUGACGGGGGCCCGCACAAGCGGUGGAGCAUGUGGUUUAAUUCGAUGCAACGCGAAGAACCUUACCUGGUCUUGACAUCCACGGAAGUUUUCAGAGAUGAGAAUGUGCCUUCGGGAACCGUGAGACAGGUGCUGCAUGGCUGUCGUCAGCUCGUGUUGUGAAAUGUUGGGUUAAGUCCCGCAACGAGCGCAACCCUUAUCCUUUGUUGCCAGCGGUCCGGCCGGGAACUCAAAGGAGACUGCCAGUGAUAAACUGGAGGAAGGUGGGGAUGACGUCAAGUCAUCAUGGCCCUUACGACCAGGGCUACACACGUGCUACAAUGGCGCAUACAAAGAGAAGCGACCUCGCGAGAGCAAGCGGACCUCAUAAAGUGCGUCGUAGUCCGGAUUGGAGUCUGCAACUCGACUCCAUGAAGUCGGAAUCGCUAGUAAUCGUGGAUCAGAAUGCCACGGUGAAUACGUUCCCGGGCCUUGUACACACCGCCCGUCACACCAUGGGAGUGGGUUGCAAAAGAAGUAGGUAGCUUAACCUUCGGGAGGGCGCUUACCACUUUGUGAUUCAUGACUGGGGUGAAGUCGUAACAAGGUAACCGUAGGGGAACCUGCGGUUGGAUCACCUCCUUACCUUAAAGAA
rnacentral:rRNA from 2 species